rnacentral:rRNA from 1 species
CCUCAAAUCAGGUAGGAGUACCCGCUGAACUUAAGCAUAUCAAUAAGCGGAGGAAAAGAAAAUAACAAUGAUUCCCCUAGUAACUGCGAGUGAAGAGGGACAAGCUCAAAUUUUAAAUCUGUUAGGUUUACCUAACCGAGUUGUAAUUUGAAGAGGCGUUUUCUGCGCAGUUUGGUCAGCCCAAGUCCUAUUGAAUGAGGCAUCAUGGAGGGUGAUAAUCCCGUCCGGCUGAUCAUUGCGUUUUACGAUACGCUUUCUAAGAGUCAAGUUGUUUGGGAUUGCAGCUUAAAAUGGGAGGUAAAUUUCUCCUAAGGCUAAAUAUUGGCGAGAGACCGAUAGCGAACAAGUACCGUGAGGGAAAGAUGAAAAGUACUUUGAAAAGAGAGUUAAAUAGCACGUGAAAUUGUUGAAAGGGAAACGAUUGAAGCCAGUCGUACCUGCGGACAAUCAGCCUUUCGGGUGAAAUUAUGUGGAGCGUGGGGAGCUAAACACCUUCAUGCCUGCGUAUUUGUAUUCUGGGGUGUACUUGGACGUGCGGUAGGUUAACAUCAAUUUCGGGCGUCAUAAAAUGGCUGGAGGAAUGUAGCUUCGGUCUCGUGCUGAAGUGUUAUAGCCUUCGGCAGAUGUGGUGACCGGGAUUGAGGAUUGCAACGAAUACCUUUUGGGCUAUCCGCCUGAUCUCUGAAAGUUGCUCUGGUGCCGAAAGCUUGCUUACGGUUAUCAAAGUUGACGUUCAAAAGGUUAGAACGGGUUAAAUUCGUUAAGGAUGUUGACGUAAUGGCUUUAAACGACCCGUCUUGAAACACGGACCAAGGAGUCUAA